rnacentral:rRNA from 1 species
GACGAACGCUGGCGGCGUGCCUAAUACAUGCAAGUAGAACGCACAGUUUAUACCGUAGCUUGCUACACCAUAGACUGUGAGUUGCGAACGGGUGAGUAACGCGUAGGUAACCUGCCUGGUAGCGGGGGAUAACUAUUGGAAACGAUAGCUAAUACCGCAUAAUAUUGAUUAUUGCAUGAUAAUUGAUUGAAAGAUGCUAUUGCAUCACUACCAGAUGGACCUGCGUUGUAUUAGCUAGUAGGUGAGGUAACGGGUCACCUAGGCGACGAUACAUAGCCGACCUGAGAGGGUGAUCGGCCACACUGGGACUGAGACACGGCCCAGACUCCUACGGGAGGCAGCAGUAGGGAAUCUUCGGCAAUGGACGAAAGUCUGACCGAGCAACGCCGCGUGAGUGAAGAAGGUUUUCGGAUCGUAAAGCUCUGUUGUAAGAGAAGAACGGGUGUGAGAGUGGAAAGUUCACACUGUGACGGUAUCUUACCAGAAAGGGACGGCUAACUACGUG